GCCACGUUUUCGUGGUUGUUGUGUUAUGGGUCCAGUGUGGUGUACUCUCUCGCGGGUGAGUCUGGUCCCAGAGCUUAAUCUAAGGGAUUGCGGGGGCCUGCACCAGCGGGGGGACAUUGGGUUAAUUUGAUUCACGGGCAAAACCUUACCAGCCCUUGACAUUUGAACAACAAAACCUGUCCUUAACGGGAUGGUUAUUACUUUCAUACCAGGUGCUGCAUGGCUGUCGUCAGCUCGUGUCGUGAGAUGUUUGUCAAGUCCUAUAACGAGCGAAACCCUCGUUUUGUGUUGCUGAGACACGCGCCUAAGGAGAAAGUCUUUGCAACCGAAGUGAGCCGAAGAGCCGAGUGACGUGCCAGCGCUUCUAAUUGAGUGCCAGCACGUAGCUGUGUGCUGUCAGUAUGAAGGGAGCCGGCGCCUUUCGAAGCACUUUCUAGUGUGCUGCGCGCUUUAGUUUGAUUGCAGCUAGCGCGCUUUACUAAUAACAUAGAAAGGGCUUUUCUCGCUUGUUUAGUAAAGUCAAGUUUUUGGUCUUAUCUUGCAGGUGACGACGACGUCGAGUUGGCGGCGGAGAAAGACUCGGCAUUCAGGCGAGCCGCCCGGUGGUGUGGUACGUAGUGGGUUUAGUACGCCCCGCCAAAACAAAACGGCUCCGAAACAAACAAAAAGGUGCGUGCCGCACUCACGAGGGACUGCGACGGAUAUAAUUGGAGAAAGGUGGGGAUGACGUCAAGUCCGCAUGGCCCUUAUGGGCUGGGCCACACACGUGCUACAAUGGCAAUUACAAUGGGAAGCAAGGCUGUAAGGCGGAGCGAAUCCGGAAAGAUUGCCUCAGUUCGGAUUGUUCUCUGCAACUCGGGAACAUGAAGUUGGAAUCGCUAGUAAUCGCGGAUCAGCAUGCCGCGGUGAAUAUGUACCCGGGCCCUGUACACACCGCCCGUCACACCCUGGGAAUUGGUUUCGCCCGAAGCAUCGGACCAAUGAUCACCCAUGACUUCUGUGUACCACUAGUGCCACAAAGGCUUUUGGUGGUCUUAUUGGCGCAUACCACGGUGGGGUCUUCGACUGGGGUGAAGUCGUAACAAGGUAGUCGUAGGGGAACCUGUGGCUGGAUUGAAUCCUUCGCGAUGGAAAUGCCCUCUUCCCCCAACCAACAUAGGGGGCUAGCUUGCUUCCCACUGGCGGCGGGCGGGCGAAGGGUCGCCGUAGGUGAGGUAGCCGGGGGCAAAAUCCAAGAGUUCCAUUUUCCUUCUUGUUCAUCAAUCGGAAAUCAAGACAAACCGGGCACUACGGUGAGACGUGAAAACACCCGAUCCCAUUCCGACCUCGAUCUGUGGAAUCGUCUUUCUCCAGUAUACCCGCAGAUUGUUCGGGAGACAUGGUCCUUCCCGGUGAAGAAAUGCAAAUUUCAAAUUGCAUAGAAAUAAAACUACGGGAAAUAAUAAAAAAAAAAAGAAAUAUAUGAUAGUAUAUAGUAUAUGUAA
rnacentral:rRNA from 1 species